rnacentral:tRNA from 1 species
GCCGGAGUAGCUCAGCUGGUUAGAGCGUCGGAAUCAUAAUCCGUAGGUCGGGGGUUCAAGUCCCUCCUCCGGUA